AGGAUAUGCGGUUCAACAUUGAUUUUGUUUGUUAGGAAAUGCGUAUUGGUCCCAAAUUAAUAUACAUGGUUAGUUACUUAGUAACGUUUCUGGGACUUGUGUUUAUGAUAGUGAUGGUUGUGAUUAUAGUUUUGAGCCGCUUAGAAAGAAAGGAAGACUUUGAAGCCAAUGUUGCGUAAACAUAGGCGUAUUUGUGGUUGCUUUCAGUGCCGCAACGCCUCGUAAUGUUAUUAGAAUCUACCAAAAGAGUGCAACUUUGAGCUGUGACUCAUCGAUGGCUGCCAUAAGAUGGAUGUGGUGAUGGUUUUAACCAGGCAAAGAAUGUUGCUGCAACAUGAGAAAAGUAGUUUGUUUUGCUAGAACAUGUAAAGGAAAAAUGUUAAGGUAAUAUUCUGAAAACAGGAUUUUUUACAGAAUAUAAUUAUAAUUUUCAAUAUGUCCAGUUAAUCUCUUUUUAAAACCAUUAUCUCUAAGAUUAUCUAAGUUAGAAAAUAUUGUGUAUUACCUUACUAA